AUUGAACGCUGGCGGCAGGCUUAACACAUGCAAGUCGAACGAGUGGCGGACGGGCGUGUAAUGUUGGGGAAUCCAGCUUAUGGGGGGGGAAAAAUACGGGAAACUGGAGCAAAUACCGCGUACCAUAGGAUAACCCCAUGGGGGAUUAGGUAUGUGGUGAGGUAAAGGCUCACCAAGCCGACGAUCUCUAGCUGGUCUGAGAGGAUGACCAGCCACACUGGGACUGAGACACGGCCCAGACUCCUACGGGAGGCAGCAGUGGGGAAUAUUGCGCAAUGGGGGCAACCUGACGCAGCCAUGCCGCGUGAAUGAAGAAGGCCUUCGGGUUGUAAAGUUCUUUCGGUAGCGAGGCGUUAACUACAGAAGAAGCACCGGCUAACUCCGUGCCAGCAGCCGCGGUAAUAC
rnacentral:rRNA from 1 species